CGGAUUUGGUAUGCUUGCCUCUAAAUGCAAACUGAAUUGAAUUUCUUCCCCAACCAUAAUUAAGAAAUGUACACAGCAUCCUCCAGCCAUAGGCAUUUCGAAUGGCUUACAAAAGCAAAGCAAGAGCAGCAAGAUAGAAGCAUACUAAUGACAAUAAUAUUGCUUUUUAAAUAAAAAAAGUCAGAAAACAAUAAAAUCAGUGGAUGAAAAUCUACUGAAUUCCAUGCUGAAAGUUCUGGGUAAAUACUCUGCUUUAACUGAUGUAAAAUUGCUCCCUGUCCCUCAUUCUCUAUUAACAGAUUGGAAUUCCCAUUUUGUCAGUAAACAUGUACUGUUUUAUGGGUGGAUAUAAUUCAUUAUUUUUAGCACUGCUUUUUAGCUGCCGGACAAAACAAGUGAGGGGUGGCAAUCCAUUUUUGUUGGUCUUUUUAAUGCUCCCUGGUUUCCCCAGCUCACACUCCUGCAUGUAACAACCACCUUUUUAUUUAAAGUGCAAGAGGCAUUUAAGAGUGGUUGUAGCUGCAGCCAGUUACAUAACGGCUGUUUGCAGCAUCUUCAAAACACCCUCGGGCACCCUUCCACAAACACAUGAUGGAUGGAAAGCCCUCCAUAUUUCAUUCAAAAAUGCCAAGUUAUAAAUUCACGCGGGAUGGAGCGUGUUCUGUUGGACAGACAGAAUGUUCUGGAUCGCGGUUUUCUAUUUGUACUAUUUGGCCAGCGUGUUAUGCUUUUUGCAAAGCAGAUGUACUGGAACGUGAAAUACUGGCGGCCGCCCUCCCCUUUAACUUCAGCUAACGAGAGUGCUUUAAACAGGGGAAUAACCCACUUGAAUUUACACUUAGAAGCCUUAAAUGUCAUUUUAUUUCACUUAACUACACAUUCAGCACAGAUGAGUGUUCAUUUAGCGUUCCAGUGUCACCAUAUCAAAAGUUUAUGUUUACCAGCUUCGGAUUGUCAAAAUACUAGUCCCUGGCAUAGCAUUAGAGAACGGGGUGUUCGUACAGCAAGACAUCCUCUGCUUCUGUUUUCCCUCCUGUAAAAUGGGAAUAGCUGAAAUUUACUUCAAAGGCUUAUUGUAAGGAAUGAAAAUAAAAAGGGUAACACCCUUUGCAAAUUAAUCAUGAUAUAUGAAUGACAUGCCCUAGUAAUUAGGACUGUCUCACUUGUGCUUCUUCUGCAAGUUUAUCCUCUGCGCUCAUCAUGCUGUUGGAGACACAGCACUGAAUUUCUCUGGUCAGGGAAGAAGGGGUGAGUGAAGAUCUUCAUCAGGAAUAAGGGUAUUCAGAAAUUGUUCCUAUAUGCAACAACAGCGGCAAGGUUAUUAUUGGCCCAGGUUUGGAAACAGCAACAAUUGCCAACAGUAGAAGAGUGGCAGCAGAAGACAUUUUAUGGACAAAUGUGGAAGAAGAACAACAAUAUACAAAAUGGAGAAAGACAAUGCGAAAAAUUGAGAGACGAUAUAAAAAAGCCAGAAGACGGAAGGAGGGAAGUCAGCUCCUAGGAGCAAGUAUAAAUGUAAAAUGUAAUGUAAUAUAUGUAUGUAUAGUAUGUAAUUAAAAAACCAAUAAAGAUUAUCCU